rnacentral:rRNA from 1 species
UGGGGAAUAUUGGGCAAUGAGGGAAACCCUGACCCAGCAACGCCGCGUGAAGGACGAAGGCCUUCGGGUUGUAAACUUCUUUGAUCGGGGACGAAACAAAUGACGGUACCUGAGGAACAAGCCACGGCUAACUACGUGCCAGCAGCCGCGGUAAUACGUAGGUGGCAAGCGUUAUCCGGAUUUACUGGGUGUAAAGGGCGUGUAGGCGGUCUUGCAAGUCGGAAGUGAAAUUCCCGGGCUUAACCCGGGCGCUGCUCCCGAAACUGCGAGACUUGAGUACUGGAGAGGAUAGUGGAAUUCCUAGUGUAGCGGUAAAAUGCGUAGAUAUUAGGAGGAACACCAGUGGCGAAGGCGGCUGUCUGGACAGUAACUGACGCUGAGGCGCGAAAGCGUGGGGAGCAAACAG